rnacentral:lncRNA from 1 species
AUGAAGAGGUCAGAUUAUCGUCAGACCAUAGACAUUACAUGCAAGGACACUGAACAUUUGGCGAACAAAUGCGGCAAACAAAGGUUUGAAUAUCCUCCAAAGCACUUCAAGCCCUCAAAGAAUGAAACUCAAAACGCAGAUGAGGUAAAAGAAGAAACUUCUAAAUUAAAGUGGAGCGACCCAGGGACAAGUCUGGUUUGGGUUAAAGAUUAUGGAUGGUUAACUUUGUGUAACGUGUUUGGACAAGCAAGUUUAGGUUUUAGGCAAGCGACUUCAGGUAUUAGGCAAGCGAGUUUAGGUUUUAUGCAAGCGACUUCAGGUAUUAGGCAAGCGAGUUUAGGUAUUAGGCAAGCGACGCGAGUUUAGCCAAGGAAGUUCAGGUUUUAUGCAAGCGAGUUUAGGUUUUAUGCAAGCGAGUUUAGGUUUUAUGCAAGCGAGUUUAGACAAGCGAGUUUAGGCAAGCAAGUUUAGGCAAGAGAGUCAAGUUACUUUAGGCCUCACUUUAUUUGCAGUUAAAUUGCGGCAUUAGGUUUAGAAAGAAGGUUAAGAUCAAGGCUCAGGUUUGCUCCCAGCCUUGUCCCUCUAGUCGCUCCCUAUAAAGAGGGUUCCAGCUACCGUGUUAAAAUACAACAGCUGGGAUUACAGACGUGGAGUACAGAAAUAAAUGACAAAGAUUGAUUCAAACAUUCUUCCCCCAAAAUGUGGUGCAACAUAAGAGAAAAUUAUGACUUUCUCUCCAUUGAAACCUAGUCAUAUCUUACAAGCUCUAUAGAGUGUGCACUGUGUUGAUGUUGGGUGUGGAUUAAAGUGCUGGUGUAGCCAGGGAUCCUCAGGGUUUAUGGGAGUAGGACACGCUGGUGUAGUUCAGUACUGUGAAGUAAAUUGAUGCAAAAAGUAGAAUCAGUGUCAAGGGCAAUCAAAUGUCUAUAAAUGCAGGAGCAGCCCCAUCUGGUCUCAAUCAGCAUUUGAUUUCAGACUUAAAUUAGCUAAAAAACAAGCAUUUAUUUACCGCAACAGUCCUAGUGCUGGAGAACCAGCUUUCAAAAAAUGUCAAUACGAGCCUCCAGGUGCAUUGGAGUUACUGCAUUUAAUUAACUUUAAUUUAAUUAAGAGCACACUAGUCAGUGGAGAUGUUCACAGAAAAGACUUGUCUUCAGACCUUUAUAAAGAUCAGGAGGGAUUAUAUAAUUGCCGUUUGACGCGUUAGGUCUGUUCAAGGAGGAAGUAAAUAUUUACCAGCGUUGGGUCUCUGCACCAUGACACCCAGCUGCCGCACAUAUGGUCUCCUUUAAGU